GCUCCCCUUUCUUUUUCUUUGCAUGCUCACCAACUUGCUGCCAGAGUGACUGCCUGCCACUCUCCUCUGCCCUCGAUUUUUAGCGCAGUUCUAUCAGUUGUCUGCAUGUACCCUUUCUGUCUGUUAUGAUUGUGUAUAAUGAGACUCAGUCCAAAAUGCUGGCUGGCAGGCUGAAGGGCGUGUUGGACAACUGCUUCACAGUUGGCUAGGCUGGCGAGAGAGGGGGAAGCAUAGAGGAGAAGGAGAGAGAGAAAAAGAGACUAAAAGGCAGAGGGAGGGAACGACAGAGCUGGAGAUAGAGAAGGAGAACAGGGAAUGGGGUCACUUGAGUUUGUUGCUCAUAGGAUAUCAAGCGGCUCGCUCUCUCCACCCCGUUUAGUAGCCUGGCUCUUCUGUUACCUCCCUCCCCUAUCUCAUCAAAACCGCCAUCUUUGGGAGGGUUACUACAACAACAAUGUCCUUCAUAAAAUGAUCCAGCAACCCCUGUUUUGAAUCCUGGCUUAAUCAUACCACGUAAACAAUGAUGAUGAAGUUCAAGUGAAGCAUUAAGUAAGCUCACGUCUUGUAUUUCUUUUAUAUGGCAUUGGCUGAGCUAAGGCAGACGAUAUUAAAUGCCCCAAGAGACGUUGCUGAUACAUGAGAAAUGUUCUGCUUUGUUACAGGUUGCUUUGCAGGGGUGAAAAAAAAGCUCAAGAAAACAGUCUGUUGAGCAAUGCAGAGAGAAGUUAACCAUGUUGAGAAUAUGAAUAGUCCCUCAUAAAGGUGUUUUCCUUAACUUUGUCAGGUCCCUGCGAUUGCUGAGUCAUCUGGAAAAAGCAGUGCUCUCGCAUUCUUUAUUCUUGGGUAAUGCAGCAUAAGAGGACUUCCAUUUUUAGCUUUAUGGCAAAUUACAUUAAGCCACAGUCCAGUGAGCCCUAAUGCUCUGAAAGUAACAAAAAUCGACAGAGAGGGAUAAAAGUUUUUUGAUACUGCUCAGACUUUCUCCCGGCAAGGCCUCCUUUAUACCUCCUCCCUGCCACUGAGCGGGAAAAGAAUGGGUUAAACCUGUCUGCGGCCCACAUCUGGGAAUCAUUUGAAACAUUCCACAAGGCUUACCACAUGUUUUCAGAUGGACUAAAUCCUGCGAAAGGCUCGGCUGUCAGAGAGGGGAGCUACACUAGACUGGAAAGCCAUUAAGAUUCAGCUCCAGUAACUUCCAGUGUAAACCUGGCUACAAGUGGAGGAUGCAGCUGGGCUGAGGAGACCCCAGAGGCCUUACGAUCCAACCUAGAGAUAUGUCGAGGAAACCCAACGCUACACAAUACAAAUCCCCGCACUGGAGUUGAGUAAACGAGGGCGAGGCUACCCAGUCUACAUGAACACAUGCGAUAUGCACGCAUGCUGGGCCCCAGUUCCACCUGUCAAAAGUCAGUGAAAUAAGACAGCUCCAUCUCUUCAACCAAUUUGUUAUGACAGCAAAUAUUUCCACCAGUACAUGCUUUUAGCAUUUGACGACUCCCUCAGUCCAUGGUUGCUCGCAUGCCUGUGUGUCCCAUGUCAUGACCCACCCCCCCCACCCCCCAGCACUGCAUUCCUCACUUGUGUGGUGAUGUGUGACAACUGACACAGCUUAGUGCCACUCACAGCUUUUGUAUAAGAAAGCCUUAAAGGCAGUGGGGGGAAACAAGGAGCGUACUGUCACUCGCACUCUCUCUGUAGCGGUGUCAGUGCUCCCAGGAAAAGAUGAAAAGCAACCAAGAAGGUAACGUAGAGGCAAAGUAUGUCACUAGCUGUCUUUGGCCUUUUGUCCAAUCAUAUGGGACAAGGGGUUUCACAUCUACCACCUGUCACAAAAUGUUGCUUUCUGGGGCGGAAAGCUAUUGAGUGUAGCUGCUAUAUCUGAGAGACAGGGGAAAACCUGAGCAUUUCCCCUGGCACACAAAUCCCUUGCACGCAAACACGCUCACAAAUGCAUACACCUCUUCGCACCUGUAUGCACACACUCAUAAACACGCACUUGAGUAUACAUGGGAAUAUGAGGGCUGCAAAUAACAGUUAUUUUAAUUAUUAACUGACUUAUUGUGUAUGUUAAUUAUUCAUUGCCACCACUUAAUUUACAGUUGACUGACCAGUAAAUAUACAAGUCCAUAUGUGUGCAUGCACACAGAAAACAGAACCCUUAUUAUUAGUUAUGUCUUGGGUAAUUGAUUACAUAUUACUGAAACAAUUGGUACCAUAUAACUUGCCCCAGCUGUUAAAACAGCUAGCCAACUGUUAUCUGAGGGCUAAUUUUCACAUGCAGUUCCUAUUCAGACACAACUAAAAACAUGCACACAGUUACGAUAUCCACCACUGAAAAGAGUAAUAACAUAAAGACAUACAUCCCAUAUUACAUAUUGCAGGUUUAUCAACAUGUAGAUUACAGAAAUGCUUACAAACUAGACUGUGUGUAAUAUAAAAAACUGAAUUAUAUAAAAAUAAAAUGCAGUCUGUGAGCAUACAGUCAGGUUGCUCCUAGACACAUGUAUAAUUUGGCUUUCCAGCUACUGAUGGAGCUGCAGCCCUUGGUGGUGGCUUUAAUAGAAAGAGCUGACUGCCCAAAUGCAGUGUGACAAAAGGGUACAGUCUGUGAUGGAAGAUAUUUUAGAGGCUUUAAUGGUGUUCUCAGCAGGAUGGGGAGGCAUAGUCACGCAAUGGAGGAGGGGCCAGAUUGUUUAAAAUUUUAUACAAAAAAAUACACAUUUGAAUAUCUAAAGAUUCUUUUCCAGAGUCUGAUGAGGUUGAGUUGGUAUUUUGUCCAGAACUUUAACACUUAAAUAGGGAAAGCACUGUAAGGAAACCCAGAAUUUCCAUAAGAUUUUCCUGUAAGGCCUAAGGUCUAUUUAAGAUUUGACUUUAGGGGUUAAGCUAUUACUAUUACAACAGCUGAAAAUGUAUUGAGCACAUUCUUACCUCUAAAUAUUUACAGUAUGUAAUUAAUUGUGUGAUGAAUGCAUGGUUGUUCUUGAAAGAAUUCUCUCUUACUCCUGGAAAAAAUAAAAGGAAUUUUUCAUCUGUGUUUUGCCAAAA